UUAAGCGACUAAGCGUACACGGUGGAUGCCCUGGCAGUCAGAGGCGAUGAAGGACGUGCUAAUCUGCGAUAAGCGUCGGUAAGGUGAUAUGAACCGUUAUAACCGGCGAUUUCCGAAUGGGGAAACCCAGUGUGUUUCGACACACUAUCAUUAACUGAAUCCAUAGGUUAAUGAGGCGAACCGGGGGAACUGAAACAUCUAAGUACCCCGAGGAAAAGAAAUCAACCGAGAUUCCCCCAGUAGCGGCGAGCGAACGGGGAGCAGCCCAGAGCCUGAAUCAGUAUGUGUGUUAGUGGAAGCGUCUGGAAAGGCGCGCGAUACAGGGUGACAGCCCCGUACACAAAAAUGCACAUAUUGUGAGCUCGAUGAGUAGGGCGGGACACGUGGUAUCCUGUCUGAAUAUGGGGGGACCAUCCUCCAAGGCUAAAUACUCCUGACUGACCGAUAGUGAACCAGUACCGUGAGGGAAAGGCGAAAAGAACCCCGGCGAGGGGAGUGAAAAAGAACCUGAAACCGUGUACGUACAAGCAGUGGGAGCACGCUUCGGCGUGUGACUGCGUACCUUUUGUAUAAUGGGUCAGCGACUUAUAUUCUGUAGCAAGGUUAACCGAAUAGGGGAGCCGAAGGGAAACCGAGUCUUAACUGGGCGUUAAGUUGCAGGGUAUAGACCCGAAACCCGGUGAUCUAGCCAUGGGCAGGUUGAAGGUUGGGUAACACUAACUGGAGGACCGAACCGACUAAUGUUGAAAAAUUAGCGGAUGACUUGUGGCUGGGGGUGAAAGGCCAAUCAAACCGGGAGAUAGCUGGUUCUCCCCGAAAGCUAUUUAGGUAGCGCCUCGUGAACUCAUCUCCGGGGGUAGAGCACUGUUUCGGCAAGGGGGUCAUCCCGACUUACCAACCCGAUGCAAACUGCGAAUACCGGAGAAUGUUAUCACGGGAGACACACGGCGGGUGCUAACGUCCGUCGUGAAGAGGGAAACAACCCAGACCGCCAGCUAAGGUCCCAAAGUCAUGGUUAAGUGGGAAACGAUGUGGGAAGGCCCAGACAGCCAGGAUGUUGGCUUAGAAGCAGCCAUCAUUUAAAGAAAGCGUAAUAGCUCACUGGUCGAGUCGGCCUGCGCGGAAGAUGUAACGGGGCUAAACCAUGCACCGAAGCUGCGGCAGCGACACUAUGUGUUGUUGGGUAGGGGAGCGUUCUGUAAGCCUGUGAAGGUGUGCUGUGAGGCAUGCUGGAGGUAUCAGAAGUGCGAAUGCUGACAUAAGUAACGAUAAAGCGGGUGAAAAGCCCGCUCGCCGGAAGACCAAGGGUUCCUGUCCAACGUUAAUCGGGGCAGGGUGAGUCGACCCCUAAGGCGAGGCCGAAAGGCGUAGUCGAUGGGAAACAGGUUAAUAUUCCUGUACUUGGUGUUACUGCGAAGGGGGGACGGAGAAGGCUAUGUUGGCCGGGCGACGGUUGUCCCGGUUUAAGCGUGUAGGCUGGUUUUCCAGGCAAAUCCGGAAAAUCAAGGCUGAGGCGUGAUGACGAGGCACUACGGUGCUGAAGCAACAAAUGCCCUGCUUCCAGGAAAAGCCUCUAAGCAUCAGGUAACAUCAAAUCGUACCCCAAACCGACACAGGUGGUCAGGUAGAGAAUACCAAGGCGCUUGAGAGAACUCGGGUGAAGGAACUAGGCAAAAUGGUGCCGUAACUUCGGGAGAAGGCACGCUGAUAUGUAGGUGAAGCGACUUGCUCGUGGAGCUGAAAUCAGUCGAAGAUACCAGCUGGCUGCAACUGUUUAUUAAAAACACAGCACUGUGCAAACACGAAAGUGGACGUAUACGGUGUGACGCCUGCCCGGUGCCGGAAGGUUAAUUGAUGGGGUCAGCGCAAGCGAAGCUCUUGAUCGAAGCCCCGGUAAACGGCGGCCGUAACUAUAACGGUCCUAAGGUAGCGAAAUUCCUUGUCGGGUAAGUUCCGACCUGCACGAAUGGCGUAAUGAUGGCCAGGCUGUCUCCACCCGAGACUCAGUGAAAUUGAACUCGCUGUGAAGAUGCAGUGUACCCGCGGCAAGACGGAAAGACCCCGUGAACCUUUACUAUAGCUUGACACUGAACAUUGAGCCUUGAUGUGUAGGAUAGGUGGGAGGCUUAGAAGUGUGGACGCCAGUCUGCAUGGAGCCGACCUUGAAAUACCACCCUUUAAUGUUUGAUGUUCUAACGUUGACCCGUAAUCCGGGUUGCGGACAGUGUCUGGUGGGUAGUUUGACUGGGGCGGUCUCCUCCUAAAGAGUAACGGAGGAGCACGAAGGUUGGCUAAUCCUGGUCGGACAUCAGGAGGUUAGUGCAAUGGCAUAAGCCAGCUUGACUGCGAGCGUGACGGCGCGAGCAGGUGCGAAAGCAGGUCAUAGUGAUCCGGUGGUUCUGAAUGGAAGGGCCAUCGCUCAACGGAUAAAAGGUACUCCGGGGAUAACAGGCUGAUACCGCCCAAGAGUUCAUAUCGACGGCGGUGUUUGGCACCUCGAUGUCGGCUCAUCACAUCCUGGGGCUGAAGUAGGUCCCAAGGGUAUGGCUGUUCGCCAUUUAAAGUGGUACGCGAGCUGGGUUUAGAACGUCGUGAGACAGUUCGGUCCCUAUCUGCCGUGGGCGCUGGAGAACUGAGGGGGGCUGCUCCUAGUACGAGAGGACCGGAGUGGACGCAUCACUGGUGUUCGGGUUGUCAUGCCAAUGGCACUGCCCGGUAGCUAAAUGCGGAAGAGAUAAGUGCUGAAAGCAUCUAAGCACGAAACUUGCCCCGAGAUGAGUUCUCCCUGACUCCUUGAGAGUCCUGAAGGAACGUUGAAGACGACGACGUUGAUAGGCCGGGUGUGUAAGCGCAGCGAUGCGUUGAGCUAACCGGUACUAAUGAACCGUGAGGCUUAACCUU
rnacentral:rRNA from 1 species